GUUUGAUCAUGGCUCAGAUUGAACGCUGGCGGCAGGCCUAACACAUGCAAGUCGAACGGUAACAGGAUGUGCUUGCACAUCGCUGACGAGUGGCGGACGGGUGAGUAAUGCUUGGGAACUUGCCUUUGCGAGGGGGAUAACAGUUGGAAACGACUGCUAAUACCGCAUAAUGUCUUCGGACCAAACGGGGCUUCGGCUCCGGCGCAAAGAGAGGCCCAAGUGAGAUUAGCUAGUUGGUAAGGUAACGGCUUACCAAGGCGACGAUCUCUAGCUGUUCUGAGAGGAAGAUCAGCCACACUGGGACUGAGACACGGCCCAGACUCC
rnacentral:rRNA from 1 species